ACGAACGCUGGCGGCGUGCUUAACACAUGCAAGUCGAACGGAAAGGCCCUGCUUUUGUGGGGUGCUCGAGUGGCGAACGGGUGAGUAACACGUGAGUAACCUGCCCUAGACUUUGGGAUAACUUCAGGAAACUGGGGCUAAUACCGGAUAGGAGCUCCUGCUGCAUGGUGGGGGUUGGAAAGUUUCGGCGGUUGGGGAUGGACUCGCGGCUUAUCAGCUUGUUGGUGGGGUAGUGGCUUACCAAGGCUUUGACGGGUAGCCGGCCUGAGAGGGUGACCGGCCACAUUGGGACUGAGAUACGGCCCAGACUCCUACGGGAGGCAGCAGUGGGGAAUAUUGCACAAUGGGCGGAAGCCUGAUGCAGCAACGCCGCGUGCGGGAUGACGGCCUUCGGGUUGUAAACCGCUUUCGCCUGAGACGAAGCGUGAGUGACGGUAAUGGGUAAAGAAGCACCGGCUAACUACGUG
rnacentral:rRNA from 1 species